GUGGGGAAUCUUCCGCAAUGGACGAAAGUCUGACGGAGCGACGCCGCGUGAGUGAAGAAGGCCUUCGGGUCGUAAAGCUCUGUCAUCAGGGACGAACGGCCGGUGGAGUGGAAAGCCACCGGAUUGACGGUACCUGAGAAGGAAGCCACGGCUAACUACGUGCCAGCAGCCGCGGUAAUACGUAGGUGGCAAGCGUUGUCCGGAAUUAUUGGGCGUAAAGCGCGCGCAGGUGGGAUCUUAAGUCCAUUUUUAAAGUUCGGAGCUCAACUCCGUGGUGAGAUGGCAACUGGGAUUCUUGAGUACCGGAGAGGAAAGCGGAAUUCCGCGUGUAGCGGUGAAAUGCGUAGAUAUGGGGAGGAACACCAGUGGCGAAGGCGGCUUUCUGGACGGUGUCUGACACUGAGGCGCGAAAGCCAGGGGAGCGAACGGGAUUAGAUACCCGAGUAGUCC
rnacentral:rRNA from 1 species